rnacentral:sRNA from 1 species
GCCAGGCACGAUGGCACGUGCCUGUAAUCCCAGUGGCUCGGGAGGCUGAGGUAGGAGGAAAGCAAUUUCAAAGCCAGCCUCAACAACAUAGUGAGACCCUGUCUCUA